CAAUAGCGUAUAUUAAAGUUGUUGCGGUUAAAAAGCUCGUAGUUGGAUUUCUGUCUGAGGCGGCCGGUCCACUUUCUGAGUGAGCAUCUGGUCCGCUUUGGGCAUCCUCCUGGGGAACGUUUCCGCGCUUGAUUGUGUGGUACGGAAUCUAGGACUUUUACUUUGAGGAAAUUAGAGUGUUCACUGCAGGCAUACGCCUUGAAUACGUUAGCAUGGAAUAAUAAGAUAGGACCUCGGUUCUAUUUUUUCGGUUUCGUUAGAGCUGAGGUAAGUAGAUUAACUAAGGGAGUAGUUGGGGGUCGGAUUCGUUAUUUAACUUAGUCAGAAGGUGGAAAUUACUUUGGUAGUUUGUUUAAAGUAACGAACUACUGCGAAAGACAUUUGUCC
rnacentral:rRNA from 1 species